AGAUAUGCCUAGGUGGGAUUAGCUAGUUGGUGAGGUAAUGGCUCACCAAGGCGACGAUCCCUAGCUGGUCUGAGAGGAUGAUCAGCCACACUGGAACUGAGACACGGUCCAGACUCCUACGGGAGGCAGCAGUGGGGAAUAUUGCACAAUGGGCGAAAGCCUGAUGCAGCCAUGCCGCGUGUAUGAAGAAGGCCUUCGGGUUGUAAAGUACUUUCAGUUGUGAGGAAGGGUGUGUAGUUAAUAGCUGCGCAUCUUGACGUUAGCAACAGAAGAAGCACCGGCUAACUCCGUGCCAGCAGCCGCGGUAAUACGGAGGGUGCGAGCGUUAAUCGGAAUUACUGGGCGUAAAGCGCAUGCAGGUGGUUCAUUAAGUCAGAUGUGAAAGCCCGGGGCUCAACCUCGGAACUGCAUUUGAAACUGGUGAACUAGAGUGCUGUAGAGGGGGGUAGAAUUUCAGGUGUAGCGGUGAAAUGCGUAGAGAUCUGAAGGAAUACCAGUG
rnacentral:rRNA from 1 species